rnacentral:rRNA from 1 species
UACGGAGGGUGCAAGCGUUGUCCGGAAUCACUGGGCGUAAAGGGCGCGUAGGCGGCUUGGUAAGUAGGGGGUGAAAUCCCACGGCUUAACCGUGGAGCUGCUUGGUAUACUGCUUGUCUUGGGCCACUUAGGGGCUACCGGAACAAACGGUGGAGCGGUGAAAUGCGUAGAUAUCGUUUGGAACGCCAAUGGUGAAAACAGGUAGCUGGGAGUGUGCCGACGCUGAGACACGAAAGCCAGGGGAGCGAACGGG